ACAAAUCAAACGCGUUUAAUGACAUACAAUUCCUCACAAAAUAUUCAGGACAUUAACAGCUCACGUGAGUUAACAUUGAAUCUGGUACAUUUUAUCAUGCUAUUUGCUAUGAAAUGCAAUCGAAGCGUUUAUCUGUUUGAUUAUAACAUUUAUCAUCACAUGUGAUAGUACAAGUCCGUCCUGUUUACAUGAGCUAUAUAUACACCAUUAAUAGUCGAUUCGCAAUGUUUAAUAGUAUGAUAAGUUAGUGUACUUGAAAUAAAGAAAACGUUCAAACACACAUAAGCGAAAAAUAUAUGCUGUACUUCAAUAUGUGAUUCAAACAUUUGUCUUAUUGUGGACGGAUCAGUUUAUGGAUAUGACAUCAUUGGAGACAAUCCGCGAACAUACGCGUGAACCACGAGUGUUUCCGGCGGGAGCACCAAUGAAUACUUCAGGGGAAACAACCGACGACGACGAUGCUGACGAGGACGUUCCGCUUGACCUAGUUUCCGAGAGGGCGCGACAAUUCCUGGGGAGAUUCCUGAAAGGAUUCUCCAGCGGUCUGGGUGUCUAUUCCGGUAUCAAGAUCGUCACUGCCCUAAUGCGGAACCCUUUCCGGCAAAGCCUACCUAUCAUCAGAGCAGAGCUUCUGGCAAAGGACAGUUUCCGGUUCGCUGCGUUCCUGGGUCUGUACCCAAGCCUGUACGAUCUGGCGCUAGAGUUGCUGGAGCAGUACAGGCGGAAAAGGGACGACUGGAAUAGCGCUCUAGCGGGCGGUCUCGCCGGCCUAGCCAUUGUGGUUGAGGAUCGAACCCGUCGUCGGAUAUACUGCCUGUUCGCUAUCGCCCGGGCCAUAGGCGCCGUGGUGAGCACCCUGGUGAGGCGAGGCUUACUUCCGGCCAUGCCUUACAGCGAGACGAUGCUGUUCUGCUCGUGUACUUCCUUUCUCGUAUAUUGCACGGCGCUUAAACCGCAAUACCUGCUCACCGGAUACUACAAGUCCGUGCUCAAGUGGUCAAGGGACUAUACUGACCGAAAGUUGACAACGCUAUUCCGACAGCCGGGGCCGGAUUUUCUCACGUGCUCUGACGUGGGGCUGCACGAGGGAAGCUGUAUGCGACACGCGGUGACGGACUUUACUCGGAGCCUUCCAGCUUUCGCGAAAUUGUACCUGCCCAUUCAUCUAGCUCCUAUCAUAUUCUUCAAAUACAAGCUGUUUCUGAAAAGACCAAUGCGACUACUGAAAGCAUUUCUCAAGAACAUCGUCUUUUCCACCGCCUUCCUCGCCACCAUGGUCAUGCUAGCAAAGUAUGGCAUCUGCCUAUUGCGCAACUUCCGGCACGCGCCACCGCCACUUCCGGGCUGGAUCCCCGCCUUAGCCGGAAUAGUCGCCGGUCUGGGUGUGCUAUUUGAGAGAACCAACAGACGUCGGGAGCUUUCGCUGUUUCUAAUUCCGCACACUCUAUAUGCCGUUUACCUUUGGGCAAAAGAAAGGGGCGUGAUAUCCCAUUGGCGGAACAGUUCUAUUCUAAUUUUUGCGCUGGCGAUGGUUCCAAUAAUGCACGCUUAUGAGCGGGAACCAGAAUCGCUCAAUUUGCUACUGCACAGUGCAUUGAAAUAUUUUGUUGGAAAGCGAAUCAGCACAGUUGAGCGACAAAAACGACGGACAGUGAGCGAGAUGAGCACGUAGUGUAUGCACGUGUUGUAAUUUGUACCGUUGGGCGCGAGACCGUACAAUUACGAUGUAUCCUGUCACAUUCGCAUAUCGUUGCACUCAUAUAUUUAUUUAUUUGUGUAUUUAUGUAUAUGCAAUAAUAAUGUGAUACUGAUUAUACUUGAUAAUGAUAUUGCGUGUUAUUUAUCUUGCGCAUCUGUAAUGCCGCAAAAUGAGUGCAGCUGUGCAAGGUAAUUUAACGCAAGAAAAUAACGUAAACGUUACAAUGGACCAUUUGACGAAAUUCGUCGAUGUGAACACGCGACGGCAGCUGUGUGAAAAAAAUUAAAGAAACAAUUGUUUUAGCCAGUUGUGUUGGCAAACAAUACGGAUUGUCAAUACUAAAGAAGCUCAGGUAUCGCAAGCAACUCAGGAAGGCCCGGACUAUUCAAACAGCUGUGAAGGUUCCUUUUAAGAACAAAGCAUAGGUGGGGGCGGAAAUACAAUAACGACGUAUAUACCGUUACCUACUGAAAUACUCUUUUUAUGUAUUCGUUGGUUCUUUUCGUUAUUUUUUCAAUUGUGUUACAUCGCAUAGAUCUUGCAUGUACCUUUUUAGAAAAAAGUAUAGGUGGGAGCGAAAAUACAAUAACGACGUAUAUACCGUUACCUACCGAAAUACUAUUAAACAACAAUUCAUCGGUUCUUUUCGUUAUUAUUAAAUUGUGUUACAUCACGUGAAUCUUUCAUAGAAAAAAAUCCCGGGUAUUCACGUCAGCUAAAGCGUAUUGUGCUGUCUUAAAUUAUUGAAUAAACAAAUAUACCAUUAUCUACAACCAUUGCGAAAA